GAUGAACGCUGGCGGCGUGCUUAACACAUGCAAGUCGAACGGGAAAUAUUUCAUUGAGACUUUGGUGGAUUUGAUCUAUUUCUAGUGGCGGACGGGUGAGUAACGCGUGGGUAACCUACCUUAUACAGGGGGAUAACAGUCAGAAAUGGCUGCUAAUACCGCAUAAGCGCACAGAGCUGCAUGGCUCAGUGUGAAAAACUCCGGUGGUAUAAGGUGGACCCGCGUUGGAUUAGCUUGUUGGUGGGGUAACGGCCCACCAAGGCGACGAUCCAUAGCCGGCCUGAGAGGGUGAACGGCCACAUUGGGACUGAGACACGGCCCAGACUCCUACGGGAGGCAGCAGUGGGGAAUAUUGCACAAUGGGGGAAACCCUGAUGCAGCGACGCCGCGUGAAGGAAGAAGUAUCUCGGUAUGUAAACUUCUAUCAGCAGGGAAGAUAGUGACGGUACCUGACUAAGAAGCCCCGGCUAACUACGUGCCAGCCGCCGCGGUAA
rnacentral:rRNA from 1 species